rnacentral:rRNA from 1 species
GUAGGUGAACCUGCGGAAGGAUCAUUACCGAGUGCGGGUCCUUUGGGCCCAACCUCCCAUCCGUGUCUAUUGUACCCUGUUGCUUCGGCGGGCCCGCCGCUUGUCGGCCGCCGGGGGGGCGCCUCUGCCCCCCGGGCCCGUGCCCGCCGGAGACCCCAACACGAACACUGUCUGAAAGCGUGCAGUCUGAGUUGAUUGAAUGCAAUCAGUUAAAACUUUCAACAAUGGAUCUCUUGGUUCCGGCAUCGAUGAAGAACGCAGCGAAAUGCGAUAACUAAUGUGAAUUGCAGAAUUCAGUGAAUCAUCGAGUCUUUGAACGCACAUUGCGCCCCCUGGUAUUCCGGGGGGCAUGCCUGUCCGAGCGUCAUUGCUGCCCUCAAGCCCGGCUUGUGUGUUGGGUCGCCGUCCCCCCGGAGAGGGGGACGGGCCCGAAAGGCAGCGGCGGCACCGCGUCCGAUCCUCGAGCGUAUGGGGCUUUGUCACAUGCUCUGUAGGAUUGGCCGGCGCCUGCCGACGUUUUCCAACCAUUCUUUCCAGGUUGACCUCGGAUCAGGUAGGGAUACCCGCUGAACUUAAGCAUAUC